CUGUGCAACACACGUGUUGCUGGGGAGCUGCUGAAACUUUGCUUCCCAGGACAUGGAGAAAACAAGUGUUGUGUGGCCCUGGCUGCAGGAUCUGUUACACAACACCCAGGAUGGAAGUUAAUUGUGUCAUUUUGAAUGAGAAGUGAACUUUAGCAGCAGACCAGGAGGGAACCCUCCUUGGUGCACUGCUGGAAGUUGCUCAGGGCACGCACAGGAUGGUUGGAAAAAACCCAGCCUGGGCAUGUCAGGAUUCUAAUAACGUGCACCCUCUCGUGGUUUAUUCCUGUCACAGGGGGAGCACACGGGAUGGUUUCUGUGUGGAACAGGCUGGGGAUCCCCUCAGCUGCUGUUGAUUUAAGAAAAGACUGUGCACUAAGAUUUGUUCUGUAUUUUAUGGGUUUUUUUUCAAUGUAAGAGUUAUGCUACAUUUGCUGUAAAAGGAUUUCUGUCUUCAGUGUUUUUCAGACUCAUUCUUUCACCUUGAAAGGCCACUUCAAUGUGCAGCUGACCUGUCCCUUGGCAAGGUUUGGGUUGACACCAGUGGGGAUGGAUAUGAGGAUACUGCAGCUGGAGCUCCCCUUGAAGAUCAGCUUUCAAACCGUUCCUCUUUUGGCAGCACUUCCACCUUUAAUAAAGAUAAUAAAGACAAGAUCAAGGGCUCUGUUGCCCAGAGAGUAAAAACCUCUGGAAUUUCUUCAGGACUCCAGUAUUUUGGACAAUCCAUUGCUGGUGGCUUUGAUUUCCCCAAUGAUGGUCUCCAAGACAGGGCAGCAGGAUCUCUGGAGAACGUGACUCUGCUCUGCCAUGUGAGGUCCACUGUUUUUCCAGGGUUCUUCUGAGAAUUAAACAUGAGAAAAAUGAUAACAUGGAGUUUCCUGUUCCUGUGCUGGACAGACACCACCCAUCAGAAAAUGCAUUUUCAGUUCCCUGGCAUGGACUGCAGCAACAGGACCAUCUGUGCUGCUCCUUUGACUUUGACAAGGCAGAUUUGCAUUAAGAGCAUUCCUGAUCCUUUGGCAGCCAUCCUCUCCUGCUGGUCACUGUGGCCAACCAACACCACUAUCUGCUGCAGCCUGUGACUGCAGAACUGGGCAGCCUGUGCUCAAGGAGAUAACUGUGAGUAGAAAUCAUUAACUCCCCUUUUCCUGCCUCUAAAUGAUACUCUGAGUAGCUGCUCUUCAUCCUUUCUCUCUACAACCAGGCCAGAGCUGCUCUUCCUUCUAACUCAGCUCAUGGCUGGGGGGGCAUUCCCCUCAAGGCAAGAGAUAACUUUUAUAUUCCUGCACUAAAUGUCUGAUUUUUCCAGAAGGGAAUGAUGGGCAGAAAAUACACUUGUCACUAUGUUUUAUCAGUACCCUGGUGAGUUACAGAGUAUUUACAGGGUGACUGAUAUUUUGCCUGUCUUUUCCCUCACAAUAGGCAAAAUUUUCAGAGAUUUGGCAAUUAAACAAAAGCAUGAUCCAAAAUAGGUCUGCAAUCACCAUGAGUAUCACUGAGUGGUGUUGUCUUCACCACAAAAUCCACUGUGAACUGGAAACACCAGAAUUCCUACCUGGAGACCAUUUGACUUAUCAGUCACUGGUUACAUGAAACCAGGCUUGUUCUUUUCAGCCUUCCAAAGCCUUUGG